CCCAUAAACCUUCACGGCGGAAGCGCACCCCUCCCCUUCCUCUACACCUCUCUCUCCUAUUGGCUCCGCCGCGAUGCCCGGCAGCAGUACGGCGGCGUCUGAUUGGUUGGAAGGCGAGCGGGACGAGGCGGCGGCUAUGGCGGACGAGCGGGCGGUGUGAGGGCUCGGCCGCCAUUUUGUGUGUGUGGGGGCUCGCGCCAGGCCUCGCUGCCCGCCGCCGCGGGGCCGGUGCCGAAGGCUACCUGUGCUGCCCAGCUCGCCAGGGCUCCCUGCUGCCGGAGUCGGACACGCAGCUGUCCGGGAGGAGCCGAGGCCCCGUGCGGCGCUGCGGGGCUCCAGGUGGAGCAGGAGGCCUCAGCGGGCUGCUGCUUCUCUCCCUGAGCAAUGGCUCCUAACGAGUGAGAUGCCAAUUAACUCAGCCCGCUCCUAACGAGUGAGAUCCCAAUUAACUCACCCCGCUCCAACACACGGAGCGGCGGCAGAGCCCUUGCAGCCACCCAGCGCUGCCGCUGCCCGGCGCUGUCAUGGCAGAGGGAAGGGGAAAGGAGACUGCGAGGCUCCUGGGCAGCACCCCUCGGCACCCUCCCGUCCUCUUCCCACAGCUGGUGGCGGCGUUUGUCCCGAGCGGAUUUUUUGGCCAAGCUUAUGCUAAAACCUUCCUGGAGCCCCACGGCAUCUUCCCCUUCCCCGGGAGCUGACGUUCGUUAUGAAAUAAACCUGCCCCCGUAGGUACCGAG